UACGUAGGGCGCAAGCGUUGUCCGGAAUUAUUGGGCGUAAAGAGCUCAUAGGCGGUUUGUCGCGUCUGCUGUGAAAACGCGAGGCUUAACCUCGCGCCUGCAGUGGGUACGGGCAGACUAGAGUGCGGUAGGGGAGACUGGAAUUCCUGGUGUAGCGGUGGAAUGCGCAGAUAUCAGGAGGAACACCGGUGGCGAAGGCGGGUCUCUGGGCCGUUACUGACGCUGAGGAGCGAAAGCAUGGGGAGCGAACAGG
rnacentral:rRNA from 1 species